rnacentral:rRNA from 1 species
UUCGCCCUUUUCCGGUUGAUCCCGCCGGACCUGACUGCUAUCGGAUUGAUACUAAGCCAUGCGAGUCAUUGUAGCAAUACAAGGCAUACGGCUCAGUAACGCGUAGUCAACCUAACCUAUGGACGGAAAUAACCUCGGGAAACUGAGAAUAAUGUCCGAUAGAACACUAUACCUGGAAUGGUUUGUGUUCCAAAUGAUUUAUCGCCGUAGGAUGGGACUGCGGCCUAUCAGUUUGUUGGUGAGGUAAUGGCCCACCAAGACUAUUACAGGUACGGGCUCUGAGGGGAGUAGCCCGGAUAUGGGUACUGAGACACGGACCCAGGCCCUAUGGGGCGCAGCAGGCGAGAAAACUUUGCAAUGUGCGAAAGCACGACAAAGGUUAAAUCCGAGUGAUUUGUGCUAAACGAAUUCUUUUGUUAGUCAUAGAACCACUAACGAAUAAGGCGUGGGCAAGUUCUGGUGUCAGCCGCCGCGUUAAAA